UACAGAGGAGCCAAGCGUUGUCCGGAUUGACUGGGCGUAAAGCGCACGUAGGCGGCUUUGUAAGUUAGAGGUGAAAGCCCGGAGCUCAACUCCGGAACUGCCUUUAAGACUGCAUCGCUUGAACGUCGGAGAGGUAAGUGGAAUUCCGAGUGUAGAGGUGAAAUUCGUAGAUAUUCGGAAGAACACCAGUGGCGAAGGCGACUUACUGGACGACUGUUGACGCUGAGGUGCGAAAGCGUGGGGAGCAAACAGG
rnacentral:rRNA from 1 species